rnacentral:rRNA from 1 species
AUGGUGCCAGCAAAGAUAAAGAUUUUUUUGUGGCGAUGCUUACACAAUGCUAUCCCAUGCUUCAGUGUUCUCGCAAAUCGCCAUAUAGGGAGUAUAUCUCAAUGCCCAGUCUGCCAAGAUGGUGCGGAGGAUAUAUGUCAUGUCCUAUUUCAGUGUGCACGAUCGAAGGCCGUUUGGGAUGCACUCGGACUCAGUGAAGAGAUUCAGUUUGCUGUUGUAAUAGACCGAGCUGGUGCGUCUGUUAUCGAUUUCUUAUUAUGCGAUGAAGCUUAUCAGAAGGCGUACACUGGUCAGGUUGAGCUAUCGGAGAUGAUAGCCACAACAUGCUGGUAUCUGUGGUGGCAGCGGAGAGAAUUCGUCAAAGGGGAGAAGCUGCAAACGCCGGAGAGGACAGCACCUGCGAUCUUGGCGCUUGCCCUCAACUACGCUCGUGCUGUAGGGAAAGGUCCGACUGUUGCUAAAUUAAACAAGUGGCCAUCUAUCUUACCACGGCAUCUAGUUCUGAACGUGGACGCAUCCUAUUUUGCUGGGAAAAAUUCAGGUUCAUGCGGGGCGGUUGUCAGGGAUCAUAAAUGUCGUUUCAUCACAGUUGCAACAGCAAGACUUGAACACGCCGCUGAUGUUGUCGCGGCAGAAACAGCGGCACUGUUUGAAGGUUUAAAAUUAGUCCUAAGUGUGGGAUGUGCUAAGUUGAUGGUAAGAAUGGAUAACAGUGUUGUGGUGGAUGCAAUAAAGCCAAACGAAGGCCAUUCAAUGGUUGCAGCGCCUGUGUUAGAUGAUUGUCGAAAUAUCUUGGGUGAUUUUGGGAAGGUUACUAUUGAGCAUUGCUUUAGAGAGUCAAAUGUAGUAGCUCACGAGCUGGCAAAGUGGGGGUGUGCAAACGAUCCUCAUGUUUGGGCGAAUGCACCUCCUAAUUUUCUUGUUAAAUUCCUAGCGGAUGAUGUAACCGUUAUUUGA